GCAGAGCUAGACAGCGAGAGAGCUCAGCAGCUGCAAAAUUCCGGUUCGCAGGAUAGCUAGUUGUUCUAAUGGCUCUCAGCUAACCCUAGACAAACUGCUCUUGAAGCCGGCGACCCAGAGUUCGGUCGGAGCCUGGAUAGGAACGUGGGGGACAACGGUGGAAAAAGAAGAGGGAAUCGUCAAACACCCGAUAGAUUGCUAGCGAGAAAAUGGAUUCAGUUUUAAGGAAGAAAGUGUGGGAAGAGACGACUUUAAACAGUGUGUGUGGUUGGGUUAAGCUCCAUGGAAAACGUGACAUUUGGUGAAAAAAGCCUUGAAGGAGAUAAGAAAUGAGACGCACUGAUAUUUGGAAGAAGCUUCCCAAUAUUAUGGAAAACAUAUGAUCCUUGACCUUCUGAGUUUCACUUAUUUCACUUCACAUAAUGGUCUCAAGUUUCAUUCAUUUUCCUGCAAAUUAUGUAAUUUCAUUUUUACUUAGAGCUGAAUAAACUCC